rnacentral:rRNA from 1 species
UACGGAGGGUGCAAACGUUGCUCGGAAUCAUUGGGCGUAAAGCGCACGUAGGCGGCCUGUUAAGUCGGGUGUGAAAGCCCUGGGCUCAACCCAGGAAGUGCACUCGAAACUGGCAGGCUUGAAUAUGGAAGAGGGUCGCGGAAUUCCCGGUGUAGAGGUGAAAUUCGUAGAUAUCGGAGGAACAGCCAGUCGGCGAAGGCGGCGAGCCGUGG